GCAUUUAAGUUACGAGAAAAAACGAUAAGCAACAGAAGGACAGUCGGAAAAGAAACUCGAAGUUUUAAUAAAUUAGGACAGUGGCCUCCACACCUUCGUACCUCCCUGUAGGUUUCAAAAGCUUUCAUGAUUAUUGCCCUGCUAAAACCACACGAUAUCCAUAAUAAGAAGAACAAAUCUGAAUGUAUCGGCAAUUAAUUGCAUAAAAAAAGGUUAAACGAUUAACUUAAUUGCGAGUAAAGAGUUAGCUGAAAUUCAUAUUCUUCACGGCACAUGAAAUAAUAAUUGAUGGCAAAGGGAAUUAAGGAAUGAAUUCAAAACGUAGUAUUGAAUGCCGGAAAAAUGAUUAAAAGAAUAUGUGUGACCUCCAACUGUAAGUCUAUUUGAAGCGUAAGCAUACCUAGUAAGAAAUGGAUAGAAAUUGUCAUUAAACUGUCAUUAGUACUACAAUCUGCUAUCACUCUGAGUGCUUGAAGUUACAGAUUCUGUUCCAACAGGAAUAACAGAUGCAGCCGGGGAUGCUGUUGAUUCGCUUUCAGUGACUGAGUUUAUUUUUGAGCUCUCUCGUUUGGAAUUCCUGCCAUCUUUAUGAAUUACGCGACACCAUCGACUAUGUCCCGGCCAUGCUUGAUGCUGGCAUUCUUUACUGCAAUAUUUUGUACGUCGGCAUCUUCUGCAUUUAGCAAAUUGACGACUGUGCUCUUCCCAUUUGUUACAUAACAAAUUGGCGCAUCGACGUAUACCACCAUGACUUUCAUCUUUCCGACAGUAAUUAUUCAUGAUAGCUCUGGCCCAGUAUUGAACUUGUGGGGGGUAGAAUUUCAAGGUGAACUGCUCGACUAACUGAAAAAUAUUCCACGUUUUACUGCCGCUACGUAAGGGCGACAUACGUAAACUUGGAACAUCUUUAGAAGACUCGAAGUAAGGACGCAUAUGGAAAUAGUUUUUACUAGUAUAAGCAAGAAUUUGCAAACCAAAAAGUAUAUCUUCUUCACGAGGGAGUUUAUUAAUCUUCUUAUCAAAGUUGUCAAAGAAUGAGGCAAUCCCGUGAUAAUCAACUACAUUUUCGGGCCUGCGGCCAUCUAAUAACGCAGAUGUAGAAGGAACACCAGGUAAAAGUUGAUUACGACGCUGACGAUUAUUCAAGGCCUGUGAUUGAACAUUAUUUAAAGACAAUUGCACAUCCCGUGAUGAAUCCUGAGUAGUAGUCAUAAUAUUAAGCGGAGUUGGAAAGAAAAAAUUUGGAGAGUCUAUCUCGUCAUUAAUUGUCUCACUAGCAGGGCCUGUUUGACGAGAGUAUGAAGGAGAAGAAGGGGUAGUCAUGUUAUAAUUAACAUUUUCAGUAGAAGUAGGAGUAGAGGGUGCAGCUGAUGAAAUUCUUUGAAUGGUUAAUGGAGAGUUUGCUUGAACACGAGGAUCUUGAAAUGAAUCAUUUGAAUAAAUGGAGCCGGAGGAUCGAUCAUGACUAGUGGUAGAGCUUGAUCCCAAUAAAUCACGAUUCACGGAAUGUCGAAACGUAGAUUGAUUUGGAAGUUGGACAUCUCCACUAUCCCGUAAAUCCACCGAAUAAACUCUUCUAGAGCUAGAGCUUGCCGUACUAGCUCCAAAUGGAGAUGGUACAUCACCGUUGACGAACAAAGAGUCAGCAGAUGAAUUGUGUUGAGACACAGAAUCAAGAGAAUUGCUAAUAUUAGAAUUAAUGGGGAAUGGAGCAGAUGCGGAUGAUGGAGGAGGGGUAGUAGAAGGUGUAAGGGAAAAUUGAAAUCGAGAAUGGUGAGAAACAACGGACUCAAGCGCAAACAAAAAAUCAUCUAAAAGGGUGACAACAAUAGGAACGAUACCAGCUUCCACAACACGAAUUCGAAUAGCUUCAGACCCACGUAUCCCAACAUUUACGACACACUGAAGAGCUAGCUGCCAUAUUGUCAUUCGGGCAAAUGUUUGUCCACGUCCGGCACGUAAAAUAUUCAUUAAACGCAUCAAACCACCAUCCAUAGUAAGG
rnacentral:lncRNA from 1 species